CACAAAUGGAGCUUUCCCUGCUGGAGGCACAUUGCAGUUCCCCCUUGGAAAAAAGAAAGUUUAAGAAGCAGUCUCUCCGCAGGAGCCUUUAAUGUUAUUUUCAAAGGCUGAGGUUUGAAACUGAAAGGCGCUUUGGUUUCCAGGGUAUUGCCAACGGGGCUGAAAUUACAUUGCCACAGCCAAGGAAGGUCGUUCAUGUUUAGUCAGCUCUGCUGUCACCAGGGCUCUGCCUCUUAACUUUGCUGGCCUGUCAUAGACAGGGUAAGGGCACAUCAUUUUUGUACUUUGCUAUAUAGCAUGGACACAAGUCUGGAAGGUCUGCAAAACUCUUUUUUUUUUUUUUCCAUCAGGUUUCAUUCAGUCUGCAUUUUUUCUGCUGCUGUGAAUUUCCCAGUCUCAUGGAAUAUCAAAUCGUUCGGAGAUACUGAUUCUGUUCCUGUUCAUAAAGGAGGACUUAUGCAUGAGGCUGAAAUUUCUGAUAUCAGAGGAGAGAGGCUGGUUUGGAGCAGAGGACUGGAGUGGAUAACCAAGUUGCUCAGAAUACCCCCAGAGCUGCCAGCAGCACGUCUUUAAUCUCUCUGUGAUGGAUCUCUUCUGAAAACUUGAUCUGCUGCCGCCUUGACCUGAGUAGCUCACAUCCCGGCAGCAUCCGCUUCUGGGAAUCCCGGCAACAUCUCUGCUUCAUUUCGGUAGUGAACAUACACCAGAACCGAUGCUUCUGUAAAUGUUAUACUUAUGAUAUACAGUGUGCUAUAGAGAUGAUUUGCACAUGCUCAAUAAAUCCAUCAGUAUCCGUUUACCCAUGCAUACAUCACAGGCCUGGCAGUCCCAGAGGCACCGGGCUCAUUACAGGUGCAUGGCAGAGCUGAUCCACAUGUGGUCAGACAGGGCUGCUUGACAUCUGGAAAUGCCAGACAAAUUUACAAAAUCCUCCAUUUUUUUCCCCAAUGACAUUUGUGGGCAGGAAAGUGGGAUGUUGCCUCAUUCAUUCAUACCUGCCUACACUUGGAAGUAGGCCUAAAAAGGAAAAUGCAUUAGAAUAAGACAGAUUUUAGCUAUAUUUUCUGAAUGUUUUCAUAGUGCUUUGAAGGGGAGUAAGGAAAUGGAGUAUUAGUAGCUGCUUCCUUUGUUUCCAGAACUUCACAGAGGACUGAAUUUAAUACAAGAUGCUUAAGUAAUGUAACGACUUCUUAGCUCUGUGAAGGAACUCAGCAAAUAAAAUUCAGGGAAGUCAUGGAGUGCUUAAUGUCAGCAUGAUUGAUUGGAACAUUCUCCCAUAAAAUUCGGGUUCAUUAAACCAGAUUUUGGUGUUGGGAGAAUUAAGACAGGGCCUUAAUGUUGCUAUUGAUAGUCUCAAGUUUGAAAAUCUGCAUACCUGAAUGAAACUUCUCAGAGCUUAAACAGCGUCUGCAUCAAGACCUCUAGAAGGUUGCCUGGAGUCCAUAUGAGACUUAUUAAAUGCUGCUUGUAGUGGAGCCCAAUAUUCUUGGAACAUGAAGCAGCAGCUAAAUGGAAACUUUGGCUAUUACCAUAUUCAUGUUUCAUGCUAAAAUAUUUUUGAGAUCAAAGUUUCUGUUAUUAAAACAAUGGGUGUAAAAAUAACAAAACUACUUUUUGUAAAACAAACAGACUCUUUGUAUCUGAGAGGUUUUUCACAUAGAUCUGUAUUCUGAGAUGGUAAUACAUUGCAGAUUUUUUUUAUGCUAUACUACUUUGAUUCAUUCAUUAAAAUAUUUUUUAAUUUUGGCUUGUUGCAAAGGUCUAAAUAAAAGCAUUUUAGUUACAUAAAUACAGACUCUGUGGAUUCAACAGUAAUAUAGUACGUUUAGAAAACUGUCAUUUAUUCUGAAAAUAUACAAAGAGCAAGCCACAGACAGAAUUUUCUAUAUAUUGUAAACAUUCUCACAGUAUGGGUAUAAAUAUCCCUUCUUUGAUUCAUUGCAUGCCAGAUCUUCAAGUAAAGAGAUAGAAAAAGAAGCUAAAGGAAAGGGAUUAUAAAUUCAGCAGGAUGCUUAGAGGCAGCGAAAGCCAAACAAGAAAAGAGCUUGCAAAGUUUUAAGACGCUGUAUACAGACAGGACCGUAAAAUUAUAAUAACAAUACCAGAUAAUAUAAUCUCAUAUUUACAUCAUUUUCAGCUGCCAGGUCCCCUCGAGCUGUGGUGUAUUUAAGGAAUUGUUCUGGAGGCAGUGGGCUUUAUCUGCUGUUCCCUGGGUAAGUGGGGCAACUCUUGGAUCACUGAGAAAAGCUUAGGAACAGUUUAGUAGGGCUGGCAAAGAAGCUUUUCGGUAUGGUGCACUGAGGGUAGGUGUUUGCAGCCUGGCUAUGGUCCGGGGAAGGAGAGGGAGGAAGGUCUGGGCUCUGCCUGUCCCGCCACAGAUAAUAGGUUAAUAGGUUUUGGUGCCUUUUUUCCUUUUAAAAACACAUUUUCAUUGUCUUUUAAAGCCGGGUAAAAUGCACUGUUCUGUGCUCUGUCGAGUAAAUCCUGAAGCCUUUCUCAAGAUGAACUCCUCUUAGGAGACUUGUUUGCUCUUUUCCUGGCAGAGCUCCCAGCGCCUUGAUAGCAGUUUUAUCUGAGUAAAGCCUUGAGCAUUUGCAUGACACUGAAGAGCUAAAAUUAUCUUUAAAUGGAGCACAAAAAAUUGCCAAUAUGUAUUGUUCUAAAAAACAUUGCUCUUUGGUUGGCCCAGAGGGGACGUAUUGUAAAUAUGAUUUAAAGAUGUCUCUGCUACUACUGUCUGAUCUUAUCAUCAGAGGUUGCUGUGGAAUUUGUCUAUGCAGAUCCUAGAAAGGAAAAACAGAUUGAGAACAUUAGCUUGUGCUGUGAGAAA
rnacentral:lncRNA from 1 species